UGAUAUGCGUUGAAGCGGGAGGUUGCGGCUCGGCACCAGACUGUAGCCGGUUUUUCCGUGGAGUAUGUCCGAUUUUAAACCGGGCGA
rfam:Ruminiclostridium sp. KB18, complete genome.